CCAAACCCAAAACUGUAAAGAUGGAUAUGACCAGGAAAACUGACAGAACCUCCCCUGAUAUUUAUAAUAUAAAAACAGGUAACCUGCUAUAAUUCCAAAACAUUAAGCAUAAAAGAGAAAAAUUAAAUAAACAAAGUAACAUAUACACAUAUAAAUAUAUUUAAAAAAAAUAUCAAUGUUAUAUAUUUAUCCACUCACCAGAAUAUGUGGGACAAAAGACCUAGGUCGCAGGAGGACCCCUAUUAUCUAUCCGGGAAGCUGGAUCCUCUCCUAGA
rnacentral:lncRNA from 1 species